UUAGGAAAUUUUCACAAUGGGGGAAACCCUGAUGGAGUAACGCCGCGUGGAGGAUGACGGCCUUCGGGUUGUAAACUCCUUUUCUGUGGGAAGAGAAGAAGACGGUACCACAGGAAUAAGCCUCGGCUAACUACGUGCCAGCAGCCGCGGUAAUACGUAGGAGGCGAGCGUUGUCCGGAAUUACUGGGCGUAAAGAGCGCGUAGGCGGCACGGUACGACCGGUGUGAAAGCCCCCGGCUCAACUGGGGAGGGUCACCGGUAACGGUCGAGCUAUGAGUGCAGGAGAGGGAAGUGGAACUCCGGGAGUAGCGGUGAAAUGCGUAGAGACCCGGAGGAACACCAGUGGCGAAGGCGGCUUCCUGGUCUGCAACUGACGCUGUGGCGCGAAAGCUAGGGGAGCAAACGG
rnacentral:rRNA from 1 species